GUCCAGUUCAGGCGAAAGAAGUGCUGGAACAGUCACUGUCUUCUGUCCUAAGUCAUCAGACAUCGCUUUCUGACCAAGCACUGAGAUCUUUGUCAGCCCAGUCACCACUGGCCCCAACAUCUCCUCAAGUGCUGUCGACCAUGCCCAACUCCUCAGAAACAUCAACUUGGUUCUCCUCCUGGGCACCUGUGUCUCAGCCUUCCACUCAAGUGAUUAUCAUUGAGGACCAGGCACCAGCUUCUCCAUUAACUGAGCAACCUAUAAUUCUACUGGAAGACCAAGAAGAGUCACCUGAGUCUCCACAACAUCCACCAGAGUUGCCUUUGGAUGAAACAGAUCUUCAGACUAUAUUAACAAAACUAUACAGCAAGGUUGAUAUGACUUUCUGUCCUACAAGCAACCAAAUAAAUGUGUGCAGGGACAGGAUUUUAGAAUGUAGCCUGCAUGCCUUUAGAAGACGCCG